rnacentral:rRNA from 1 species
ACGAACGCUGGCGGCGUGCUUAACACAUGCAAGUCGCACGGAAAGGCCCUGCUUUUGUGGGGUGCUCGAGUGGCGAACGGGUGAGUAACACGUGAGUAACCUGCCCUUGACUUUGGGAUAACUUCAGGAAACUGGGGCUAAUACCGGAUAGGAGCUCCUGCUGCAUGGUGGGGGUUGGAAAGUUUCGGCGGUUGGGGAUGGACUCGCGGCUUAUCAGCUUGUUGGUGGGGUAGUGGCUUACCAAGGCUUUGACGGGUAGCCGGCCUGAGAGGGUGACCGGCCACAUUGGGACUGAGAUACGGCCCAGACUCCUACGGGAGGCAGCAGUGGGGAAUAUUGCACAAUGGGCGGAAGCCUGAUGCAGCAACGCCGCGUGCGGGAUGACGGCCUUCGGGUGGUAAACCGCUUUCGCCUGUGACGAAGCGUGAGUGACGGUAAUGGGGAAAGAAGCACCGGCUAACUACGU